rnacentral:lncRNA from 1 species
GCAGUACAAAUGCCCAAGCUGCAGCUCCAAGAGACCUAGGCAGUAGCAGCGCCGCCUCCUUUUGGCGGGGGACGGCCCCCACGGAUGGGGGCCUUGAAGCAGCAGCAGCAGCGGUUGAGACUUUAGACUCCUUGUGCAAGGCUAACUACUACCGUCUUGCUAUGUUUACUGUACCUUUCGUUUCAGGUUUACAUAUGGUGAUGAUGCUAAUGCUUGUGAGGGAAGAUGACACACAUAUUCAAAACCUUCUAACGUUUCCAUGUCCUGAAGAGGAGUCAAAGGUGUAUGUUGCCGGGAAGGGAUAGUAGAAUGAUGAAAAUAUGUGUAACUUUUCAUGGGAAGUUCAUGUUCCAAUAAUCCGAGAGGUUUAUUUAUACUAUUCUAUCUAUGUUAAUAUAUGUAUUAUUAGUCUGUUCAGCUGUCAUGUGGAACCUGUUGUGAAAUAACAAUUUUGGUUAUCCUAAAAAAGCACACAAU